rnacentral:lncRNA from 1 species
CCUAAAGAAAUUCCUAAGAAAAUAAGAAACCCUAAUGAGUGGCUUAGCCCUCCCCUAAUCUUCCCUUCCUUUGCAUCGAUACUACUCAAGGUGAGAUUGUGGUGACCUUGACCCAAAUAUUUCUAUACUUUGCCGUGUUCCCUAGUCUCACAAGCUGCUGAGAUUCCCCAGAUUUCCAAAAGCCUUGCCUUUCCUCCGGUUUCAAUACUCAACCUUAUUGUCCAAAAACAGUUAUCCUCCAUUUCUG